AGAAUUCUCCCCUGGGAAAUCUAGAAUCCUCCUCUAUCAAGUCUACUGGAACUUCAGCUACCAGUAUGCAAUAUGAUACUUUCCCGUGAUAUUCAACUGCAGUCAAAAAAACAUUUCUGGAGUUAUGAACUUCUUCAAGUCACAAGCAGGCUCUUAUCUUCCAUUUCAAGGUCAGAAUGUUUGCUUCACUUACUUUUGACCUACACUCUCAUCAUAUCUUCAUUGUUUGUGGUGAUAAAAUUUUA